rnacentral:rRNA from 1 species
UGUGUGUUAGUGGAAGCGUCUGGAAAGGCGCGCGAUACAGGGUGACAGCCCCGUACACAAAAAUGCACAUGCUGUGAGCUCGAUGAGUAGGGCGGGACACGUGGUAUCCUGUCUGAAUAUGGGGGGACCAUCCUCCAAGGCUAAAUACUCCUGACUGACCGAUAGUGAACCAGUACCGUGAGGGAAAGGCGAAAAGAACCCCGGCGAGGGGAGUGAAAAAGAACCUGAAACCGUGUACGUACAAGCAGUGGGAGCACGCUUAGGCGUGUGACUGCGUACCUUUUGUAUAAUGGGUCAGCGACUUAUAUUCUGUAGCAAGGUUAACCGAAUAGGGGAGCCGAAGGGAAACCGAGUCUUAACUGGGCGUUAAGUUGCAGGGUAUAGACCCGAAACCCGGUGAUCUAGCCAUGGGCAGGUUGAAGGUUGGGUAACACUAACUGGAGGACCGAACCGACUAAUGUUGAAAAAUUAGCGGAUGACUUGUGGCUGGGGGUGAAAGGCCAAUCAAACCGGGAGAUAGCUGGUUCUCCCCGAAAGCUAUUUAGGUAGCGCCUCGUGAAUUCAUCUCCGGGGGUAGAGCACUGUUUCGGCAAGGGGGUCAUCCCGACUUACCAACCCGAUGCAAACUGCGAAUACCGGAGAAUGUUAUCACGGGAGACACACGGCGGGUGCUAACGUCCGUCGUGAAGAGGGAAACAACCCAGACCGCCAGCUAAGGUCCCAAAGUCAUGGUUAAGUGGGAAACGAUGUGGGAAGGCCCAGACAGCCAGGAUGUUGGCUUAGAAGCAGCCAUCAUUUAAAGAAAGCGUAAUAGCUCACUGGUCGAGUCGGCCUGCGCGGAAGAUGUAACGGGGCUAAACCAUGCACCGAAGCUGCGGCAGCGACGCUGAUGCGUUGUUGGGUAGGGGAGCGUUCUGUAAGCCUGCGAAGGUGUGCUGUGAGGCAUGCUGGAGGUAUCAGAAGUGCGAAUGCUGACAUAAGUAACGAUAAAGCGGGUGAAAAGCCCGCUCGCCGGAAGACCAAGGGUUCCUGUCCAACGUUAAUCGGGGCAGGGUGAGUCGACCCCUAAGGCGAGGCCGAAAGGCGUAGUCGAUGGGAAACAGGUUAAUAUUCCUGUACUUGGUGUUACUGCGAAGGGGGGACGGAGAAGGCUAUGUUGGCCGGGCGACGGUUGUCCCGGUUUAAGCGUGUAGGCUGGUUUUCCAGGCAAAUCCGGAAAAUCAAGGCUGAGGCGUGAUGACGAGGCACUACGGUGCUGAAGCAACAAAUGCCCUGCUUCCAGGAAAAGCCUCUAAGCAUCAGGUAACAUCAAAUCGUACCCCAAACCGACACAGGUGGUCAGGUAGAGAAUACCAAGGCGCUUGAGAGAACUCGGGUGAAGGAACUAGGCAAAAUGGUGCCGUAACUUCGGGAGAAGGCACGCUGAUAUGUAGGUGAAGUCCCUUGCGGAUGGAGCUGAAAUCAGUCGAAGAUACCAGCUGGCUGCAACUGUUUAUUAAAAACACAGCACUGUGCAAACACGAAAGUGGACGUAUACGGUGUGACGCCUGCCCGGUGCCGGAAGGUUAAUUGAUGGGGUUAGCCGCAAGGCGAAGCUCUUGAUCGAAGCCCCGGUAAACGGCGGCCGUAACUAUAACGGUCCUAAGGUAGCGAAAUUCCUUGUCGGGUAAGUUCCGACCUGCACGAAUGGCGUAAUGAUGGCCAGGCUGUCUCCACCCGAGACUCAGUGAAAUUGAACUCGCUGUGAAGAUGCAGUGUACCCGCGGCAAGACGGAAAGACCCCGUGAACCUUUACUAUAGCUUGACACUGAACAUUGAGCCUUGAUGUGUAG